AGUGAACGCUGGCGGUAGGCCUAAUACAUGCAAGUCGAACGGCAGCACGGCAGUAGCAAUACUGUGGGUGGCGAGUGGCGGACGGGUGAGGAAUACAUGGGAAUCUACCCUGUCGUGGGGGAUAACGUAGGGAAACUUACGCUAAUACCGCAUACGACCGAGAGGUGAAAGCGGCGGACCGCAAGGCGUCGCGCGAUUGGAUGAGCCCAUGUCGGAUUAGCUAGUUGGCGGGGUAAAGGCCCACCAAGGCGACGAUCCGUAGCUGGUCUGGGAGGAUGAUCAGCCACACUGGAACUGAGACACGGGCCAGACUCCUACGGGAGGCAGCAGUGGGGAAUAUUGGACAAUGGGCGCAAGCCUGAUCCAGCCAUGCCGCGUGAGUGAAGAAGGCCUUCGGGUUGUAAAGCUCUUUUGUCCGGAAAGAAAAGCUCUCGGUUAAUACCCGGGGGUGAUGACGGUACCGGAAGAAUAAGCACCGGCUAACUUCGUGCCAGCAGCCGCCGUAA
rnacentral:rRNA from 1 species